rnacentral:misc_RNA from 1 species
GAUGAAGAACGUAGCGAAAUGCGAUAAGUAAUGUGAAUUGCAGAAUUCAGUGAAUCAUCGAACCUUUGAACGCACAUUGCGCCCCCUGGUAUUCCGGGGGGCAUGCCUGUCCGAGCGUCAUUACAACCCUCAAGCUCAGCUUGGUGUUGGGCCCCGCCGCCCCGGCGGGCCCUAAAGUCAGUGGCGGUGCCGUCCGGCUCCGAGCGUAGUAAUUCUUCUCGCUCUGGAGGUCCGGUCGUGUGCUCGCCAGCAACCCCCAAUUUUUUUCAGGUUGACCUCGGAUCAGGUAGGGAUACCCGCUGAACUUAAGCAUAUCAAUAAGCGGAGGA